rnacentral:tRNA from 1 species
CAAUGAAAAGCCAAAUAGAGGCUUUUAACUGUUAAUUAAAUUAUUGUAAUUACAUUACUUCAUUGG